rnacentral:rRNA from 1 species
CAGUAGCCGCGGGAAUACGAAGGGGGCUAGCGUUGUUCGGAAUUACUGGGCGUAAAGGGCGCGUAGGCGGCCAUUCAAGUUAGAUGUGAAAGCCCUGGGCUCAACCUAGGAAUUGCAUUUGAUACUGUUUGGCUUGAGUUCGGGAGAGGUAAGUGGAAUUCCCAGUGUAGAGGUGAAAUUCGUAGAUAUUGGGAAGAACACCAGUGGCGAAGGCGGCUCACUGGACCGACACUGACGCUGAGGCGCGAAAGCGUGGGGAGCAAACAGGAUUAGAUACCCCAGUAGUCCCUGUCUCUUAUAC